UCAGGGAUUUUCAUGGGGUUCUCAGGACUUACCUGGAUAAUUGGUGCGCAGCGUUCUACUGCGACCUAGCGGCUCAUCAGCCGUAUCGUGACGGAGCUCCGAACACACCUCAGCGGCCUUUAAUGGGUCGAAUUAGGGUUUUCUUCUCUGGUGAAUUUAUACGCUUGGAUAGGGGAUUAGGGUUUUAUUUAUGCUCAAGGGAUUAGAAUUAGGGCCAUGAAAUCCGAUUACGGGUUGUUUAUUUAUUUAUUUAUUUUACAUGCUCAAGGGAUUGGAAUUAGGGGCAUGGAAUUCGAUUUUGGGUUUUUUUCUUAAAAA